rnacentral:rRNA from 1 species
AUGAUCGCGUCCCUCCUGUACGCCGCGCUGGUCUGGAUCCCGGCACUCCCGACCAUUCAACAGCUGGGCGCCUGGCCGCUCUACUGGGCCACGCAGGGCUGCGUCAUGACCGGCGUCUGGGUGCUCGCCCACGAGUGCGGCCACCACGCCUUCUCCGACUACCUGCUGCUCGACAACAUCGUCGGCCUGGUGCUCCACUCAUGGCUCCUCGUCCCCUACUUCUCGUGGAAGUACAGCCACCGCCGCCACCACGCCAACACCGGCUCGCUGGAGCACGACGAGGUGUACGUCCCGAAGAAGAAGGAGGCGCUGCCGUGGUACACCCCCUACAUCUACAACAACCCCGUGGGGCGUCUGGGGUACAUCGCCGUGCAGCUCACCCUCGGGUGGCCGAUGUACCUGGCGCUCAACACCUCCGGCCGCCCGUACCCGCGCUUCGUCUGCCACUACGACCCCUACGGCCCGAUGUACAGCGAGCUGGAGCGCGCGCAGGUUUUCAUCUCGGACGCCGGCGUGCUGGCCGUCUCCUUGGCCCUGCUGAAGCUCGCGUCGGCCUUCGGGUUCUGGUGGGUGGUGCGGCUCUACGGGGUGCCGCUGCUGAUCGUGAACGCGUGGCUGGUCGUGAUCACCUACCUGGCUCACACCCACCCGGCGCUGCCGCACUACGACUCGACGGAGUGGGACUGGCUGCGCGGGGCGCUCGCCACCAUGGACCGCGACCUGGGCGUCCUCAACCGCGUGUUCCACAACACCACGGACACGCACGUCGCGCACCACCUCUUCUCCAGCAUACCGCACUACCACGCCAUGGAGGCCACCAAGGCGAUCAAGCCCGUCCUCGGCGAGUACUACCAGUUCGAAUCGAACCCCCUCGCCAGGGCCACAUGGCGCUCGGCCAAGGAGUGCAUCUACGUCCAGCCCGAGGAUCGCAAGGGAGUCUUCUGGUACAGCAACAAGUUCUAG